ensembl:lncRNA
GUGUUACCAAACAUUGGACCCGAUGGCAGAGCUGCCAGCAGCACUAGUGAGGUGCGGGAAGAGCUGUGGGAAAGACGGUAUGAACACGUUUGGGCAGAGUGUGGAGAAGGUCCAGGUUUGGCAAAGCAACCUAUAGGAUAGAAAGGGGCAGGGAACAUGGCAGACAAAGUGGCAGCUCAGUGCCAUCAGCAUCACAUGCUCUGCUCAAGCAAAGACGUGAGUGUGGUUGGGCAGACGAUCUGGCCCUGCUUGUGCCCAACGGGUGCAGGUAUGAGGCCUUGUGGUAGAUGUGUUUUCCAUUUACUCUUUGAAAACCUGAACAGUUAAACAUUCACAGAAGUUAAUGUUAAGGUCACAAAGCCACAUAAGCUGCUGCAGAACACAGAAGAUGACUGUACAAGCAUCAUUCCAUCCCUUGUACAUAUGCAUUAAAGUAAUUGAUGUCACAGGAGGCUUGUUUUAUUUAGGUACAGUGGUCGGUGGGGAUUUUGGUGAAGGAGGAGGCUGUGUGCUGGGAGCAGCACUGUGCAAAGCCAAAGGGGAAGGAGGAAAGGCAGCAUCUUGGAUCCCUCUGGCUUGGAGAGCUGCCUUUUGUUCCUGGCUGCACCAUACAGCUGUGUCACCUACUGGAGAAUGUUGUGCUGCCAGCCUUCAUUUUGGCAGUUUCUGAUUUGAGAUGGACUUUUGCAGCCUGCCCUGUGUUUGGUUAAUACUGCAGCUCCCAGGCCACAAAGACUUAGCUCCGGAGUGGGGCAGCAGAGAUGUUAAGUAUUGCCAUGACUCCAGUCAUGGAUAAUAGAAGGAAUAUUUAGACUUUGUUGUUUCAGAGUCCCUUCUGCCCCUCAGCCUUUAAGGCUCUGUGUGCCCUGCUGCAUGAUACUUCCUGGCAUGAAUCCAGUGAAGCUAAUACCCCAAAUUACAAACAAGCUUUUGGGCAGUCAGUCAGGAAGUAACCAUGUUCAGCCUUAUUCAAGGGGCCUGGUCCAUGCUGACAGCUUUGUCACGCAUCCUGUAUAAUCUUCCAGUGGUCCGUGUCUCCAUGGUACACUCUGUACCACGAUGACAGAAGUCCUGGGCACAUAAAGGUCAGUGCUGCAGCAGUCCAAAUGAAACCUAAAUGACACAGCCAGGGAGCUACAUAGCUUAGCGUUGUUCCGUGGCUGAGUAUCAGGAGCUCAGCAUGCAGCCAGACCAUGGUCCUGUUCUCAAUAGUUUGGCAGGAUGCUUUUUUUCACUGCCUUGGGAAGCUGGUGCUCUCUGUGCAGGACAGGUAGUUCUGCAGCCUGAGAUAUCAGAUAUUUGCAAAUCUAAGGUGUGCAUUAAAGACUCACCAUUUUCUCCUGUUAAAAUAAAAAUGCUUCCU